rnacentral:rRNA from 1 species
UACGAAGGGUGCUAGCGUUGUUCGGAAUUACUGGGCGUAAAGCGUGCGUAGGCGGACUGUUAAGUCAGAUGUGAAAUCCCGGGGCUCAACUCCGGAACUGCAUUUGAAACUGAUAGUCUAGAGACCAGGAGAGGUUAGCGGAAUACCGAGUGUAGAGGUGAAAUUCGUAGAUAUUCGGUGGAACACCAGUGGCGAAGGCGGCUAACUGGACUGGUACUGACGCUGAGGCACGAAAGUGUGGGGAGCAAACAGG